rnacentral:ncRNA from 2 species
AAGGCUGUAUGUGACUGGCGAAACGCGGAUUACCGUGAGGGAGCAUACAGUGUCGUAGCCGUUCGCCUGGGCAGAGGUA